rnacentral:rRNA from 1 species
ACGAACGCUGGCGGCGUGCCUAAUACCUGCAAGGAGAACGCUGAAGAGAGGAGCUUACUCUUCUUGGAUGAGUUGCGAACGGGUGAGUAACGCGUAGGUAACCUGCCUUGUAGCGGGGGAUAACUAUUGGAAACGAUAGCUAAUACCGCAUAACAAUGGAUGACUCAUGUCAUUUAUUGGAAAGGGGCAAUUGCUCCACUCUAAGAUGGAACUGCGUUGUAUUAGCUAGUAGGUGAGGUAAUGGAGCACCUAGGCGAGGGUACUUAGCCGACCUGCAAGGGGGAGCGGCCAAACUGGGACUGAGACACGGCCCAGCAUCCUGCGGGAGGCAGCAGUAGGGAAUCUUCGGCAAUGGGAGCAACCCUGACCGUGCAACGCCGCGUGAGUGAAGAAGGGUGUCGGAUCGUAAAGCUCUGUUGUAAGUCAAGAACGGGUGUGAGAGUGGAAAGUUCACACUGUGACGGUAGCUUACCAGAAAGGGACGGCUAACUACGUG